UACGGAGGAUCCAAGCGUUAUCCGGAUUUAUUGGGUUUAAAGGGUGCGUAGGCGGUAUAGUAAGUCAGUGGUGAAAACCUGCAGCUUAACUGCAGAACUGCCAUUGAUACUGCUAAUCUUGAGUACAUUUGAUGUGGGCGGAAUGUGUCAUGUAGCGGUGAAAUGCAUAGAUAUGACACAGAACACCGAUUGCGAAGGCAGCUCACAAAACUGUAACUGACGCUGAGGCACGAAAGCGUGGGGAUCGAACAGG
rnacentral:rRNA from 1 species